rnacentral:rRNA from 1 species
GAUGAACGCUGGCGGCGUGCCUAAUACAUGCAAGUCGAGCGAACGGACGAGAAGCUUGCUUCUCUGAUGUUAGCGGCGGACGGGUGAGUAACACGUGGAUAACCUACCUAUAAGACUGGGAUAACUUCGGGAAACCGGAGCUAAUACCGGAUGAUAUUUUGAACCGCAUGGUUCAAAAGUGAAAGACGGUCUUGCUGUCACUUAUAGAUGGAUCCGCGCUGCAUUAGCUAGUUGGUAAGGUAACGGCUUACCAAGGCAACGAUGCAUAGCCGACCUGAGAGGGUGAUCGGCCACACUGGAACUGAGACACGGUCCAGACUCCUACGGGAGGCAGCAGUAGGGAAUCUUACGCAAUGGGCGAAAGCCUGACGGAGCAACGCCGCGCGAGUGAUGAAGGUCUUCGGAUCGUAAAACUCUGUUAUUAGGGAAGAACAUAUGUGUAAGUAACUGUGCACAUCUUGACGGUACCUAAUCAGAAAGCCACGGCUAACUACGUG